rnacentral:rRNA from 1 species
CGACGCCGCGUGCGGGAUGAAGGCCCUCGGGUUGUAAACCGCUGUCGUAGAGGAGGAAGGCUCUGUGCAGAGCAGGGUUUGACCUAUUCUAGGAGGAAGUCCGGGCUAAGUUCGUGCCAGCAGCCGCGGUAAGACGAACCGGACAAACGUUAUUCGGAAUCAUUGGGCUUAAAGGGUGCGUAGGCGGUGCUGUAAGUCGGGUGUGAAAUGCCUCAGCUCAACUGAGGAAUUGCGCCCGAUACUGCGGUGCUUGAGGGAGACAGAGGUAAGCGGAACUGAUGGUGGAGCGGUGAAAUGCGUUGAUAUCAUCAGGAACACCAGUGGCGAAAGCGGCUUACUGGGUCUCUUCUGACGCUGAGGCACGAAAGCUAGGGUAGCAAACGGGAUUAGAUACCCCGGUAGUCCUAGCCGUAAACUCUGAGUACUUGAUCGGGGGCCCUCCCAUAGGCUCCUGGUCGUAGCGAAAGUGUUAAGUACUCCGCCUGGGGAGUAUGGUCGCAAGGCUG